rnacentral:rRNA from 1 species
GAUUGCAGGCUGCAACUCGCCUGCAUGAAGUCGGAAUUGCUAGUAAUCGUAGGUCAGCAUACUACGGUGAAUACGUUCCCGGGCCUUGUACACACCGCCCGUCACACCAUGGGAGUCGGGAAUGCCCGAAGCCGGUGGCCCAAUCGAAAGAAGGGAGCCGUCGAAGGCAGGCCGGAUGACUGGGGUGAAGUCGUAACAAGGUACC